UGCAUAAGUAACGAGAAGCUGAAUGUUAAU
rnacentral:piRNA from 1 species